ACUAGGUCUAGGUGAUAUAUUUGAUAUAUCCAAGCUGGACGGACCAAUGAUUUACCGUUUCAAAGAUUUGAAGUCAGCCACACGGAACUUUAGCGAAAGCUCCAAAAUAGGAGAAGGAGGUUCCGGAGAUGUGUACAAGGGCAUAAUAAAGAAUGGAGAUGUAGUUGCUGUAAAGAAACUUUCUAUAGUGGCAGGCCAAGGGAAGGCAGAUUUCGAAAGUGAACUUAAGCUUAUAAGUAUUGUUAAUCAUCGCAAUAUCAUCCGUCUGUUGGGCUAUGCUGUCAGAGGAUCAGAGCUACUUCUUGUGUGCGAAUACAUGGCAAACGGAAGCCUUGAUAAAUUCCUAUAUGCCGAGUUCCCUAACACUAAGUUAGUUAUCAGUUGUAGUAACAUUUCAGGUGGUAUACGAUAAAUUAUUUAGAGAUUAUUACUAUUAUCAGGUGAAAAACAGGGGUGUCUCAGCUGGAAACAACGUGUUUCUGUAAUUCUUGGGAUAGCUAAGGGCCUUGUGUAUCUGCAUGAACAAUCUCAUUUACGUAUAGUACACCGAGAUAUAAAGUCGAGCAACAUUCUACUUGAUAGUAAUUUUCAACCCAAAAUUGCAGAUUUUGGGCUGGCAAGACUAAUGCAUUACGAUCAAAGUCAUCUUAGCACUAGAUUUGGUGGAACUUUGGGCUACAUAGCACCGGAGUAUGUUAUUCAUGGACAAUUGUCUGAAAAAGUUGAUACCUACAGUUUUGGUAUUGUAGUCCUUAAAAUUAUAAGUGGCCGAAGAGGCGCCAAUCUAAAGAAGGAGCCCGCGGGCUCAUCUUCCCUCCUUGAACAUACCUGGAAUCUGUUCGACAGAGGCGCACAUUUGGAUUUGGUCGAUAAAAGUCUAGAUCCCGACAAUAUGAUAAUGAUGAUGUUAAAAAGAUCAUAGAGAUUGCUCUGAUGUGCACUCAGUCACCAAGUUCCGCGAGGCCAACUAUGUCUCAUGUAGUUGUUUUGCUUACAAAUGAUCUUCCCAUGAAGCAAAAUCCACCAGGCAAACCCAUCUUCUGGUAAUUAGUUGUCCUCCAUGCUAGAUUAGUGCUGUUCUGAGUUGAGCAAGUGCGGGAGAAUCAUAAUUAUGAUAAAAUCUGAAUGUAUGUUCUCGUGGAUAAAUUAUUCCCCAGACAAAAUACUUAUAAACUUUGGUCUCAAGAACUUAUAAAUAAUCUUGGACGAGUAAGCAGUUUGUGGAGAGCUAGUAUGAUGUGUACAUUUACUUUUUAAAUUUAUUAUUAUUAUUAUUAUUAUUAUUAUUA